AGCGAGACGUGCCGGUAAUAAACCGGAGGAAGGUGGGGAUGACGUCAAAUCAUCAUGCCCCUUAUGACCUGGGCUACACACGUGCUACAAUGGUUGGUACAACGAGUUGCGAGUCGGUGACGGCGAGCUAAUCUCUUAAAGCCAAUCUCAGUUCGGAUUGUAGGCUGCAACUCGCCUACAUGAAGUCGGAAUCGCUAGUAAUCGCGGAUCAGCACGCCGCGGUGAAUACGUUCCCGGGCCUU
rnacentral:rRNA from 1 species